rnacentral:snoRNA from 1 species
UAAAAUGAUGAAGAUUUUAAUUUUCCGUUGGUCUAUUAAGAACAGAAGUACUUCAAAACUACUUUUUAAGACCAUCCUUUAACAAUGUUUCUUUUAAUAUUGUUAAACUUCUCAUUUACUUUGCGUCUUUAUGGUCUCAUCGUUCUGAUGGAUCGUAAUUUAGACACGAGGUAUACUUCAUUAAUUUGUUGGAGAAUAUUGGGAGUCUUUUAAUGUGAUGAGUGGCCAACACAACCUAUAGUCAUAGUUACACUGAUU